UGCAGUCGACGGUAACAGGGAGCUUGCUCCGCUGACGAGUGGCGAACGGGUGAGUAAUGCGUCGGAACGUGCCGAGUAGUGGGGGAUAACGCAUCGAAAGGUGUGCUAAUACCGCAUACGUACUGAGGUAGAAAGUGGGGGACCUUCGGGCCUCACGCUAUUCGAGCGGCCGACGUCUGAUUAGCUAGUUGGUGAGGUAAAGGCUCACCAAGGCGACGAUCAGUAGCGGGUCUGAGAGGAUGAUCCGCCACACUGGGACUGAGACACGGCCCAGACUCCUACGGGAGGCAGCAGUGGGGAAUUUUGGACAAUGGGCGCAAGCCUGAUCCAGCCAUGCCGCGUGUCUGAAGAAGGCCUUCGGGUUGUAAAGGACUUUUGUCCGGGAGCAAAUGCCUGGUGUUAAUAGCACUGGGAGCUGAGAGUACCGGAAGAAUAAGCACCGGCUAACUACGUGCCAGCAGCCGCGGUAAUACGUAGGGUGCAAGCGUUAAUCGGAAUUACUGGGCGUAAAGCGUGCGCAGGCGGUUUUGUAAGCCAGAUGUGAAAGCCCCGGGCUCAACCUGGGAACUGCGUUUGGAACUACAAGACUAGAGUGUGUCAGAGGGGGGUGGAAUUCCGCGUGUAGCAGUGAAAUGCGUAGAGAUGCGGAGGAACACCGAUGGCGAAGGCAGCCCCCUGGGAUAACACUGACGCUCAUGCACGAAAGCGUGGGGAGCAAACAGGAUUA
rnacentral:rRNA from 1 species